rnacentral:rRNA from 1 species
GAUCAUGGCUCAGGAUGAACGCUGGCGGCGUGCUUAACACAUGCAAGUCGAACGAUGAUGCCCACUUGUGGGUGGAUUAGUGGCGAACGGGUGAGUAACACGUGAGUAACCUGCCCUUGACUCUGGGAUAAGCCUGGGAAACUGGGUCUAAUACCGGAUAUGACUGACUAUCGCAUGGUGGUUGGUGGAAAGCUUUUGUGGUUUUGGAUGGACUCGCGGCCUAUCAGCUUGUUGGUGGGGUAAUGGCCUACCAAGGCGACGACGGGUAGCCGGCCUGAGAGGGUGACCGGCCACACUGGGACUGAGACACGGCCCAGACUCCUACGGGAGGCAGCAGUGGGGAAUAUUGCACAAUGGGCGCAAGCCUGAUGCAGCGACGCCGCGUGAGGGAUGACGGCCUUCGGGUUGUAAACCUCUUUCAGUAGGGAAGAAGCGUAAGUGACGGUACCUCAGAAGAAAGCCCGAAAAG